CAAGAGUGGUGGACCUGUGA
rnacentral:piRNA from 1 species